rnacentral:rRNA from 1 species
GGACGAACGCUGGCGGCGUGCCUAAUACAUGCAAGUCGAACGGUCUUUCUAUGGAAGCUUGCUUCCACUGAGAAGAUAGUGGCGAACGGGUGAGUAACACGUGGGUAACCUGCCCAUAAGAGGGGGGAUAACAUCCGGAAACGGGUGCUAAUACCGCAUAGUUUUCUUGAUCGCAUGAUCGGGAAAGGAAAGACGGCCUUUGUGCUGUCGCUUAUGGAUGGACCCGCGGCGUAUUAGUUAGUUGGUGAGGUAACGGCUCACCAAGACGAUGAUACGUAGCCGACCUGAGAGGGUGAUCGGCCACAUUGGGGCUGAGACACGGCCCAAACUCCUACGGGAGGCAGCAGUAGGGAAUCUUCCGCAAUGGACGAAAGUCUGACGGAGCAACGCCGCGUGAGUGAAGAAAAGGUUUUCGGAUCGUAAAACUCUGUUGUCAGAGAAGAACAAGUUGGAGAGUAACUGCUCCAGCCUUGACGGUAUCUGACCAGAAAGCCACGGCUAACUACGUGCCAGCCGCUGC